CAUGGUCAUCUCGUAGGCCCGGAUCCGCUUCUCGCAGGAGGCGCACAGCCCAUCCUGGCCAAAGAGCCUGCAACGACACAGAAAAGAGGAAGGAGUUGGGAUAAGCUGUGGUCUGAGGCUCUCCUGCCUUUUGUCUGUGCCUCCACAUUUUGUCAAACAUUUCUGUAUCCAUGAAGGCUCUCCUGGUCCAUGAAGUCACUCCUGAUGGGUUUCAGAAGGACACAUUCUAGGACCUCCGAGAUACCUAUGAGAAAGAUUUAUCUGUGGACUGUUUUUUCAUCCUCAUGGAGAAACCCUCUGAGGUCCUUAUGAUAUUAUCUAUGAAAAGGAGCCUUUGCUGAAUGCCCUGCAGAGUUUACUGAGUCAAAUCAGUAAUAAAGAGGCAUGAAUAUGUUGAUAUUUUAUAUAUAUUUGAUAUAUUGAUAUUUUAUCCUUAAAAGGGCCGAAUGCUACACAUCUCCUGCACGUGCUGUGCCUGAUCUAAGUCAUAUUCUGAACCAGAAAAAGGAUGUCUGGUAAAUUAAGAGACCUUUAAGGAGAAAGAACAUAAUUCCUUUUGUCUACCAGGAGAUGUCACUGUUUACUUCUGCCCAGUGAAAGUAACGCUAAGGUUACACAAAGGUUGCCAAAUUUUUCAUUAAUGUGGGAAGAUAUUAUCUGUUGCAUUAUUAAAUAAAUAAAAACGUUGGAUUUCACUGCAAGAAAAGG